rnacentral:rRNA from 1 species
CCUACGGGAGGCAGCAGUGGGGAAUUUUGGACAAUGGGCGCAAGCCUGAUCCAGCAAUGCCGCGUGAGUGAAGAAGGCCUUCGGGUUGUAAAGCUCUUUUGUCAGGGAAGAAACGGUGGAGGCUAAUAUCCUUUGCUAAUGACGGUACCUGAAGAAUAAGCACCGGCUAACUACGUGCCAGCAGCCGCGGUAAUACGUAGGGUGCAAGCGUUAAUCGGAAUUACUGGGCGUAAAGCGUGCGCAGGCGGUUUUGUAAGUUUGUCGUGAAAUCCCCGGGCUCAACCUGGGAAUGGCGAUGAAGACUGCAAGGCUAGAAUCUGGCAGAGGGGGGUAGAAUUCCACGUGUAGCAGUGAAAUGCGUAGAGAUGUGGAGGAACACCGAUGGCGAAGGCAGCCCCCUGGGUCAAGAUUGACGCUCAUGCACGAAAGCGUGGGGAGCAAACAGGAUUAGAUACCCUGGUAGUCCACGCCCUAAACGAUGUCUACUAGUUGUCGGGUUUUAAUUAACUUGGUAACGCAGCUAACGCGUGAAGUAGACCGCCUGGGGAGUACGGUCGCAAGAUUAAAACUUCAAAGGAAUUGACGG